GCGGACUUAGCUCAGAUGGCAGAGCGAGUGCCUUCCAAGCACAAGGUCGCCGGUUCGAUGCCGGCAGUCCGCUCCA
rnacentral:tRNA from 1 species